AUCCUGAUGACGAGUCCUAAACAGAACGAAACGCGCGUUCUUGAU
rnacentral:hammerhead_ribozyme from 1 species